UUAAUAUUCCUGUACUUGGUGUUACUGCGAAGGGGGGACGGAGAAGGCUAUGUUGGCCGGGCGACGGUUGUCCCGGUUUAAGCGUGUAGGCUGGUUUUCCAGGCAAAUCCGGAAAAUCAAGGCUGAGGCGUGAUGACGAGGCACUACGGUGCUGAAGCAACAAAUGCCCUGCUUCCAGGAAAAGCCUCUAAGCAUCAGGUAACAUCAAAUCGUACCCCAAACCGACACAGGUGGUCAGGUAGAGAAUACCAAGGCGCUUGAGAGAACUCGGGUGAAGGAACUAGGCAAAAUGGUGCCGUAACUUCGGGAGAAGGCACGCUGAUAUGUAGGUGAAGUCCCUCGCGGAUGGAGCUGAAAUCAGUCGAAGAUACCAGCUGGCUGCAACUGUUUAUUAAAAACACAGCACUGUGCAAACACGAAAGUGGACGUAUACGGUGUGACGCCUGCCCGGUGC
rnacentral:rRNA from 1 species